rnacentral:rRNA from 1 species
GAUGAACGCUGGCGGCGUGCCUAAUACAUGCAAGUCGAGCGAAAAGACGAGGCGCUUGCUGCUUUGUCGUUAGCGGAGGACGGGUGUGUAACACGUAGGUCACCUACUUAUCAGACUGGGAACUCUUCGGGAAACCGGCGAUAAUCCCGGAUAAUAUUUCGAACCGCAUGGUUCGAUAGUGAAAGAUGGCUUUGCUAUCACUUCUAGAUGGACCUGCGCCGUAUUAGCUAGUUGGUAAGGUAACGGCUUACCACGGCAACGAUACGUAGCCGAGCUGAGAGGGUGAUCGGCCACACGAGAACGGAGACAGGGUCCAGGGUCCUACGGGAGGCAGCAGUAGGGAAUGGGCCGCAGUAGGCGAGAGCCUUACAGAACAACGGGGCGUGAGUUAUGAAGGUCUUCGGAUCGGAAAGCUCGGUUAUUAGUGAAGAACAAACGUGUAAGGAGCUGUGCACUGCGUGACGGUAACUAAUCAGAAAGCCACGGCUAACUACGUG